AUUGAACGCUGGCGGCAUGCCUUACACAUGCAAGUCGAACGGCAGCACGGGAGCAAUCCUGGUGGCGAGUGGCGAACGGGUGAGUAAUAUAUCGGAACGUGCCCAGUCGUGGGGAUAACGUAGCGAAAGCUACGCUAAUACCGCAUACGAUCUAUGGAUGAAAGCGGGGGAUCGCAAGACCUCGCGCGAUUGGAGCGGCCGAUAUCAGAUUAGGUAGUUGGUGAGGUAAAGGCUCACCAAGCCGACGAUCUGUAGCUGGUCUGAGAGGACGACCAGCCACACUGGGACUGAGACACGGCCCAGACUCCUACGGGAGGCAGCAGUGGGGAAUUUUGGACAAUGGGCGGCAAGCCCUGAUCCAGCAAUGCCGCGUGCAGGAUG
rnacentral:rRNA from 1 species